UACGUAGGGGGCAAGCGUUGUCCGGAAUUAUUGGGCGUAAAGCGCGCGCAGGCGGUUCUUUAAGCCUGGUGUUUAAACCUGGGGCUCAACUUCAGGUCGCACUGGAAACUGGGGGACUUGAGUACAGAAGAGGAGAGUGGAAUUCCACGUGUAGCGGUGAAAUGCGUAGAUAUGUGGAGGAACACCAGUGGCGAAGGCGACUCUCUGGGCUGUAACUGACGCUGAGGCGCGACAGCGUGGGGAGCAAACGGG
rnacentral:rRNA from 1 species